CAAGAGAGUUCACUCACCAGUGGGCUCCAUCAACAGACCAGGGCAAAGUCGGUCUGUCCUGCUACUACUACAUGCUACUUGACUAUGUCUGGAAGCCAUGGCUGCUGCCCUCAACAUGCUAAACUGAAACCCUCACAAAUAAACUGAUAUCAAUAAUUGGUGAUAACAUAACAUUGAUGGUGAUGGUGGCAAGGGUGCCUUCAUAAGGUGCCAUCCAGCAAGUCCCAGCCUGGAGCCAGAGGCUGGCACUGCACGUCAGAUGGGGGAGGAUCUAUGUUAGGCAUCAGAAAGACACCUGACUUUUACUGCCAAAGGGACCAUCAGAGCACCU